GGAAGAUCAAAGAGAAAAUGACGAGUCUCCACUUCCUCACUGCUGUUGCUUUCACUUUCUUCCUUACAGCUCAUAUUGCUGCAGCUGGUUCAUCUGAAGAGUGUGUGUAUACUCUGUAUGUUCGAACUGGUUCAAUCAUAAAGGGUGGAACUGACUCCAAAAUCAGCGUUACACUAGGCGAUGCUUCUGGAAAAUCAGUAUGGAUUCCAGAUCUUGAAAAGUGGGGUUUAAUGGGUCCAAAUUACGAUUACUACGAAAGAGGUAAUGUGGAUAUCUUCACUGGUAGAGGCAAAUGUAUUAGCACACCAAUUUGCAGACUUAAUGUUACUUCUGAUGGAUCUGGAGAUCACCAUGGAUGGUUCUUGGAUUAUGUUGAGACAACUUUCACUGGUCCUCAUAUGCAGUGUAGUCAGAGCAUAUUCUAUGUGGAUCAAUGGUUGGCUUCUGAUGCACCUCCUUAUGAGUUAUCUGUUUCUCUUGAUGGCUGUAAAAAGAAGAUUGGGAAUCACGGUAGGCGUUUUGUUGUGGGUAAACCUAUAAGGUCUGCUUCAGAAUAGUUUGGGUUGUUGUGAAUUCAUUAUGGAAAGGUCAAAUGAGAGCUUCAUGUGUGUUUUUGAGUGAUAAUACUGUGUUUUCUUUCCAGCUUUGUUGAAAUAAAUUUUGUUCUGGUGCGUUUUUGUUCUCUUUAGUGCUGCGAUAAGGUGUAUAGUAACCCAAUAAUUUGUUUAUGUGAAUUGGUAUACUAUUAGUAUCACAUAGAUUUCUCUUAGUUUCUUGAUUAACCAAAUGCUU
rnacentral:misc_RNA from 1 species